rnacentral:tRNA from 1 species
GGAAGUGUGGCAGAGCGGCCGAAUGCGCCCGCCUUGAAAGCGGGUGAGGUUAAUACCCUCCGGGGGUUCAAAUCCCUCCACUUCCG